ensembl:lncRNA FTX FTX transcript, XIST regulator
UUCCGAUCUUGGGUCGCUGUACUUGGCUCUGAAUACAGUCACCCCAUCAGAGUAGCAAAACACUGUGGUUGUAGUGUGAGAAUCCAAUGUUAAUGUUGGCCGAAAGCUCUUGAUUUUCUUCCCUGAGAACAUAGGCGUGAGGAUUUGGAUGUGUUUCCAAAUGCUUGUUACUCUUUGCCGUAAACCUGGAAUUUGGACCUAUGGCUGCCUGGGACUCAUACUGUCGUGGAGAAAGAUUGAAAAGUAGUUAAUGGCAGUGGUGGUAUGAAGCAUGAAUACCAGCACAGCCCAACUAUGUGUAAGCAGAUCUGUGCAGGAAUGAGAGUCCCAGGGAGAGAAUCCACGUUGUUUCUGAAAGAAAAUGGCUAUAGCUCACUGUUGUUUACUGGAAAUAGUAGGGGGAAGGAAAGAUGGAAGUCCAGGUCCAGUGUCAUAUACUGCCCUGCACCUUACUCACUUCUCUGCCUUUAGGGUGAUGCCACACUCAAUCAGAAACUAUGCUACUGCUGAAGAGGUAUAUUGAGCCCUGCCUGGUUAACCUCCAGUGAGGUUAUUAGAGAAUUGGGAGAGGCUCAAAUCAGCAUCCUGCACCUAGUUAUCAAACCAUUGUGAAGUCUUGAUUCCUGGAUGGCCAGAAAACUUGUCAUUGGUCAAGAGCAACAUUAAGAUCUGCCUGUUACUCAUACUGAUGCUUCCUGCCCAGCAAGUUCAUCAGAGGGCGAGGAUGAAUUACGGUUGCCAUGAAUGUCCUUGUGAGGCAGUUGGGAAGCCUUGGCUGGAUUGUGAAGGAUAUUUGAAAAGUAUUUUAGAGUCCACCAGAUCAUCCAUGUGAGUGACCAUGCAGCAAAAGAAGGAGGGUCCUCUCAGUGAUUAAGGAUUAUGAAGUAUUAAUUCUUCCACUGAUAUCUCAAAAGGUGAUCUGGACAAAGGAACAGGUAUCUCAGAACAGUGGUUGGUAGGAUGGCGGAGACAUGGACUUCAGAGAGUUCUUGGUAGAAGACUCAAAGAGCCACCUGUCAUGAGACAUCCCACUUCCUUCCCCAGGUUACUUCCAAGACUGAGCAGCCAGGUUUUUGGUAGAUGAGAACAAAUGUUUCUUCCUGAAGCCCUGGGGCUUCAGGUAGGAAGAAGGACUGCUAUACUUGUUCUCACCCUUGGCUUCUGGCUGCUCCAGUUAAACAUGGUUCCCAUUGAUACAGACAUUAGAGUGGGAAAGGACUUCGUUCAUAGACCGAAGACCCUCAAAGGAAAGUCCUUCCAUUUUGGGAAGGGUGACAUUGAUUUCGUUUAGCUGCUUAAGAUAUGUACUUGCUGUUGUCUUGUGAGACAUGACAUCUGAAGCUGAAGAGGAGUCCCUCUCAUUGUUGUCAUUGUCCCACCGGGACUGAAAGUCUCCCAGUUGAGGCAGCAUUUUAGCUUUGAUGUCUACAGGGCAAUCAUGGAUCAGGAAAUUUCUGCAAAUUAGACUUGGAAAACAAGGUCUUGAUCCUUCUUGUCUUUGGACGAAGACUAAUCAUCACUUUUGACUGAAGGUGUAGUGCUGGAGACUAUGUUGGAGGCAGCACCUGAUGCACUAUCCAUAUUCUUCCCCUUGAUCUUGUCUUAAAGUUUUCCAAAUGGAUUCCGAGGCUUGUCUUUGAUGAAAAGGUCAAACAUACUGGCAGUCAUGUUGUUUCUCAUAAGCUGGAUGUCAACCUCAAUUUCUCCUCUUUAUCCUUCUCUCCUGGUUUGGAUUUCAAGGUAUACCACCGCAUCUUCCUGCUCCCCUAGUCUGGGUGCAGGUCCUGCAGGUACACCUCGGCGAAGCCCAAGUACAGUAGCAGCAGCACCUCAAAGGUGGCCUCCUCCUCUGACACUGAGGUGGCAUACUUCUCCUUACCCACCUGAAUCACCGAGUACAUGUUGCUUGUACCGUCAGGCUCUUGGUUCUUGGCCCCUGGCCCUAUGCCUGCAACACUGUCACCUGCACGUGGAUUGGGAACCACAUAGCCCCCGGACCUGCUAAGGCCAUUAAGGACAGGAUGGUGAUGCCUCGGCUGACUGACGUGAGAAGAUUGUCAUGACCCAUGGCCUCUACUGCUGUCCUACCAACAGAAACUUCAUAAUGUUGUGCAGGCGUUACCACUACCUAGUUCCAGAACAUUGCCAUCACCCCCAAAAUAAAUCUUGCAUUCAUUAA